CAUUCAUUCUGCAGCACUAUGGUAAUAGGUGUUUUAUGAUUCUCUCCUUUGAUCAACGUGUCUGGUUAUCCAACUUGUGAAGCUCUUGUGAGGGCUUCUAAAGUAUGAAGAUGAGAACAACAGAGAUGGGGUGCCCAGGCUGCCCUUGAACUCCACAAGCAAAUCCACCUGCCCAGGCCUCCUAAAGUGCUGGGAUUACAGGCACGAGCCACCAUGCCUGGAGCUCAUGGUCAUUUUAUACAUGAGGUUGGUCUAGUGGAUUGUAAGUAAAUCGAGCACCCUGAUGGCAGGAGAAUGAGGUGAGCACCUGAGAGUAUAGCUCAGAUCACAGGAAAAAGUUUUGUUUGUGAUGUCACAGGCUUUAUAUUUGAGCCCUUCUUAAAAUACUAGGGACAUUUGUCCAGAGUGUUCUGCUUGUUAUCACAGACCUCCUAAAUGGGUUCAUCUUGCUUCAGUUAGAAAAAAAUCUUUAACAUAAAACUUAAAAUGUAUCUGUCCCUUCUCUUAACUUGCCCAGUUUGUGAUGCUGAAAUCCUGGCCCUGGACAACCUUGUCUGGAAUGGCAAAAGGUCCUGGCUGUCACAUUCCCGAGCGACCCCACACUGCUAUGUUAGUCCUCUGUGCUCAUGAGUCCACACCUGCCAUGUCCUCAACUUGUAACCACUGUCAACCAAAGCUGCUAAAGAAUUAGAGCGGCCCCACCCUUGUCAGAUGGUCAAUAGACACUUUACCUAUUAGUCCGUGGGCUUUAGGUGAGAACUUGUUUGUAGGGGGUAUGUAGAUUCCCAGAAAGUCAACAUUGACGGGAUGCUUCUUCCAAACACGAUGAAGUAAAACAGAAAAGGACAUCUCUUUAUCCAGGGUGAUAGUUACCACUUUUUCUUUCUUCACUGAGAUCUGCACCCUGGUGUGAAAGUCCAAGAGGAAUUAAACCAUUCCAGAACAGACCUUUUGAGAAAGUCAUUCUUCUCACCCCUAAUAUGAACUCUUCACUCCUCCCAGACAAUUCCGCUAGUUAUCUAAGCGCUUGCAACAGUUUAUAGAUAAAUGAUGGAUUAACAGAAACUCAUUGGGAAGCUUCUACGCAGAGGACACAAUCAUGGCGUUUGGAGCUCACUCUGCGAUAGAGUCAGUAUGGAUUUCAGCUGGUGGAUUUGUUCACUGAUUAGCACAUACACAGUGAGUGUUUACUGAUGCCAGGCACUGGACUAGGUCCUGGGACCCAACGGUGACCAAAAACACACAGUGCCCACUGCCAGGAACAGAGUAGGGAGUGAGAACAAUUUUUCUGAACCUCAACUUCCUUAUAUUUAAAAUGAUGAUUUUUUUUCAAUGUUGAUGUCACUGAUGCCUGGAUUUAUUUAUGCAGUCGUGUGUCACGGACAGGCCCAAGUUCAGAU
rnacentral:lncRNA from 10 species